AUGAACGCUGGCGGCGUGCUUAACACAUGCAAGUCGAACGAAGCACUUAAGAUUGAUUCUUCGGAUGACGUCUUUUGUGACUUAGUGGCGGACGGGUGAGUAACGCGUGGGUAACCUGCCUCACACAGGGGGAUAACAGUUAGAAAUGACUACUAAUACCGCAUAACCCGAUAGGAUCGCAUGAUCCAGACGGAAAAGAUUUAUCGGUGUGAGAUGGACCCGCGUCUGAUUAGCUAGUUGGUGAGGUAACGGCCCACCAAGGCGACGAUCAGUAGCCGGCCUGAGAGGGUGAACGGCCACAUUGGGACUGAGACACGGCCCAAACUCCUACGGGAGGCAGCAGUGGGGAAUAUUGCACAAUGGGGGAAACCCUGAUGCAGCGACGCCGCGUGAGUGAAGAAGUAUUUCGGUAUGUAAAGCUCUAUCAGCAGGGAAGAAAAUGACGGUACCUGACUAAGAAGCCCCGGCUAACUACGUG
rnacentral:rRNA from 1 species